UUACACAUGCAAGUCGAACGGCAGCAUGAUCUAGCUUGCUAGAUUGAUGGCGAGUGGCGAACGGGUGAGUAAUACAUCGGAACGUGCCCUGUAGUGGGGGAUAACUAGUCGAAAGAUUAGCUAAUACCGCAUACGACCUGAGGGUGAAAGUGGGGGACCGCAAGGCCUCAUGCUAUAGGAGCGGCCGAUGUCUGAUUAGCUAGUUGGUGGGGUAAAGGCCCACCAAGGCGACGAUCAGUAGCUGGUCUGAGAGGACGAUCAGCCACACUGGGACUGAGACACGGCCCAGACUCCUACGGGAGGCAGCAGUGGGGAAUUUUGGACAAUGGGCGAAAGCCUGAUCCAGCAAUGCCGCGUGUGUGAAGAAGGCCUUCGGGUUGUAAGCACUUUUGUCCGGAAAGAAAUGGCUCUGGUUAAUACCUGGGGUCGAUGACGGUACCGGAAGAAUAAGGACCGGCUAACUACGUGCCAGCAGCCGCGGUAAUACGUAGGGUCCAAGCGUUAAUCGGAAUUACUGGGCGUAAAGCGUGCGCAGGCGGUUGUGC
rnacentral:rRNA from 1 species